AAUAAAUUAAAAGUCCAAGUCUUUUUACAAAAAUAAAGGCUAACUAUUAAGCCCAAAUUGCCUAGCCCGGUUGUUAAGAGUAACCCAAUUAACAAAACAAAUUCUAGCCCAUUUGAAACACGGCCCAAUCACAAGACUGGCCCAAAUGUCUGAAGUCUGGUUUCAGAGGCCGAAAACCUAGUCAUUCGCCUUGCACCGCAGCUAGCAGUCGGUCUCCAGCACCACAUGUGUGCCACUAGUUCCUCGCGCGCGCCUUCGCUCGUGUCUUUGUACGACUACUCCUGCAAUGGAACACAUGAGAAGAAGGAGCUAACCGAAUUUACAGCAAAUGGCAGCAAGAAAAUGUAAUUUUAUUUUUUAUUUACUCUGUAAAUCCGACUACAAAAAGCCGUCGAAUGUACCUGCAAAUACUUACGCGCAGUAAAUAUCAGAAAAAGCAUUUCGAAAGGAAAUUUUUAAAGGUGAUUUUCUGCUUUCUAGUUUCUUUAGUUCUUCGUCGAAUCAUCUCAUUUUCUUUUUCGAUUUUUCACUAUUGUAUUUAAAAAAUAAAAGAGAAAGAGAAAGGCGAGGUCUUCCCUUGCGAAUCUGCCAUAGAUUCCUCUUGGCUUUGUUGAAAUUGAAGUUGAAAGAGGAAUCACAAGGCAUCAAAUCAUCUUUUCAAGAGUACGCCGUUCGCUGAUUGUAGUGGCCGAUCGGUGUUGGAGCGAAGGGGAAGUUAGGGUUCGGCUGCAAAGUGAAAGGGAAAGGGAUUUGGUUUUCUUAUUUUUGUUUCUAAAUGGUUGAGUGUGUUAAUUUUAGGUUUUUUAGUGUUAAUUAGGUGUAUAAAACGACACCGUUUAGGGCCUAUGCCAAUGGCCCCAAAAUGAAGCCGGUUUAAGCCGACCCGCAUCGAUCCGACCCGAUCGCCCCUAGGAUCCGUGCGUUUCUGCGAAGAGGAGAUAAUUGCACAUAGGUCCUCCCCUUUCGCACAAGUCUGUAAUUGCGCCAUAUGCAUUUUGUUUCGUUUUUUUAAAUUUGGUUUUGUAAUUUGUGCUUAUUUGCGAUUGGGUCCACGCCUCAACAAAGUGUUUUGGGUUCUGGAGUAAAUCCAGCUUUAGUCUCUGUGCAUUUGCGUACAUUGCGC
rnacentral:lncRNA from 1 species